rnacentral:rRNA from 1 species
CACGUAGGGGGCAAGCGUUGUCCGGAAUCAUUGGGCGUAAAGAGCUCGUAGGCGGCUCAGUAAGUCGGGUGUGAAACCCUCAGGCUCAACCUGGGGACGCCACCCGAUACUGCUGUGGCUAGAGUCCAGUAGGGGAGUGUGGAAUUCCCGGUGUAGCGGUGAAAUGCGCAGAUAUUCGGAAGAACACCAGUGGCGAAGGCGGCUUACUGGCCCAUUACUGACGCUGAGGCUCGAAAGCGUGGGGAGCAAACAGG